rnacentral:lncRNA from 10 species
CUUUUCCGGGAGUCGGAGCCUCGAGGAUCGAGCGUCCUCGGGGCGCAGUGCGCCCUUUCGAGGCAGCCGCAGUGCCUGGCAAGGGCCGCUCUGCCCAGGGAGCGCAGCGCGCUGGGCUUUGCGGGGCUCUAGAAACGCGCGGGUCUCUUGGGGCUGGGGGAGAGGGGAGAGGGCCGACUCCGGAGACAACAGCCACAGUGUUUCGGGUUGCAGGAAUAGUAAGUCUCCAUGAAUGUUAUCAUUAGUAAUCGUUUACCAGGAUUUUCACUGUGCCAGGAGCUCGCAGGCCACUGCCUCUUUUUUUUUCCUCAUCUCCAUGAGUCAAGCAGAAUUCUUUGCAUUUUUCUGGUGGAGAAACUGAGGCUCAGAGAUUAGGUGCUCUGGGGCCAGGUGCCACCGGCCAUUGUCCAGGCAGCUGUGUGCAAGCCAAAGAAGCAUGAGGACACUGGAAGACUCCUCGGGGACAGUCCUGCACCGCCUCAUCCAGGAGCAGCUGCGCUACGGCAACCUGACUGAGACGCGCACGCUGCUAGCC